rnacentral:rRNA from 1 species
UACGUAGGGUGCAAGCGUUAAUCGGAAUUACUGGGCGUAAAGCGUACGCAGGCGGCUGUGUAAGACAGGCGUGAAAUCCCCGGGCCUAACCUGGGAACUGCAUUUGUGACUGCAUAGCUAGAGUCUGUCAGAGGGGGGUGGAAUUCCACAUGUAGCAGUGAAAUGCGUAGAGAUGUGGAGGAACACCGAUGGCGAAGGCAGCCCCCUGGGAUAAGACUGACGCUCAUGUACGAAAGCGUGGGGAGCAAACAGG